CAAAGCCACCACCACUCUUUACCGCCACCCAACUCUCUCAGCCGCUCAACAAGCCCCGGUUCUCUGAUUCUCACUCAAAAUUUCUCAUCAGGUUUGGGAGAAGCACACGAGAUAUGGCUCUGACAAAUUUCAUACUUACUGUGGCUGGUGUUAGUGCUGUGGUUCUUUUGUUGAGGAGUGAUGUGAAACAGUCAGCUUCCAUCUUCAGGCGGAACGUCAAGCAUAUCCGCAAGUGGCUUGAAGAAGAAUCCAAGGCAGUCCCAAAGGAACUGGAAACUAAGGUUCCGCCAAAGGAUAUUCCCAAGGAGCCCAAGGAGGACAAACACUAGUAUCAACAUCGGCACCUUAAGUAGUUUGCAGGAGUUCAGUUGUUAUGGGAUCAAGUGUUUAAAUUUUAUGUUCAUAAAUUGCUUAUCAUGGUUUUCCUUACUAGUUUUUAUUUUUAAUUUUUUAAUUUUUAAGGAAACUAGUUUUGGGAUUUAGAUAUACUGAUUGUAACUAGUAACUUCCGCGGGAGCUAUUUUUUCUAAUCUGAGGUAACCAGCUUAUCUUUUCAAGAUUUGCUUGGUUCUGCAAUAAACUCUCUCCCCACUCCCCAGUUCUAGCUGCAUGUAAUUAGGUCAUUUCUAUUGGCAAUAAAGUAUCAUGAUUAACGUG